rnacentral:piRNA from 1 species
UGAAAGAGAUUGAAGCACCACAGUGCCA